rnacentral:tRNA from 1 species
GGAAAAGAGGUAACUAUUGGUUGUGUUAUGGCGGUCUGUAAAACCGUUCCCAUGUGGUAAACAUUGUUGGUUCAAUUCCAACCUUUUCCA